rnacentral:rRNA from 1 species
GGUACGGGGGGGGCAAGCGUUGUUCGGAAUUACUGGGCGUAAAGGGCUCGUAGGCGGCCAACUAAGUCAGACGUGAAAUCCCUCAGCUUAACUGGGGAACUGCGUCUGAUACUGGAUGGCUUGAGAUUGGGAGAGGGAUGCGGAAUUCCAGGUGUAGCGGUGAAAUGCGUAGAUAUCUGGAGGAACACCGGUGGCGAAGGCGGCAUCCUGGACCAACACUGACGCUGAGGCGCGAAAGCGUGGGGAGCAAACAGG